GACGAACGCUGGCGGCGUGCUUAACACAUGCAAGUCGAACGAAGUGGCGAACGGGUGAGUAACGCGUAAUCAACCUGCCCUUCAGAGGGGGACAACAGUUGGAAACGACUGCUCAUACCGCAUACGGAAGAAGGGGAUUGCGUCUGAUUAGCUAGUUGGGGGGGUAACGGCCCACCCAGGCGCUGAGCAGUAGGCGGUCUGGGAGGGUGAACGGCCAAAUUGGGACUGAGACACGGGCCAGACUCCCACGGGAGGCAGCAGUGGGGAAUCUUCCGCAAUGGACGGAAGUCUGACGGAGCAACGCCGCGUGAGUGAUGACGGCCUUCGGGUUGUAAAGCUCUGUUAAUCGGGACGCGGUACCGGAAUAGAAAGCCACGGCUAACUACGUGCCAGCAGCCGCGGUAAUAC
rnacentral:rRNA from 1 species